UAGUGGGAGAGACAGAACAUCAUAUAAUUAAUUUUGUAUCGAUAUAAAAGAGAGUAAAAAUUAAAAGAUAAAAAGAUGAUGAAAUCUAUUUCGGUUUUUUCAAUCAUUUUCUUGUUACUUUCCAUGGUCACUCUUCACGGUAACGGAAAUUAUAUUCAUUUUAAUAUUUGAAAAAUAACGUAUGAAUUGUUGGAAAUAUUUGGAACUGAUGAAAUAAUGUUUUAUCCUUGAUUUCUGUGCAGGUGUUGCAAGAGGUGUUGAUCAUGAUCGUGAACAUGUGGUAUCGUCAACGAGGGGGAGUAAGGAAGUAAUCAUCCAAGAAACAUGUCGGACAGUGAUAUAUGAUAAAGGGUGUGAAGAAUUUAAAUGCGACCGAGAUUGUGUGGCCCAUUUUGGGGGAGAUAGCAAUAGCGAAUGUUCGAAUGGUCGUGUUUGUAUAUGUGAAUACAAUGGCAACUGUGACAACUAAAUUAAGUUUUUUUGAAGUGGGGAAUUCAAGCUUAAUAAUGGAAUAUUUUGAUAGAUUACUCUGAGGCAUAGAUUACUGAUGGAUUCUGGUUUCCCAUCAACAAGUUCAUGGUCGAUUAAGGCGCAAUUGAAACGGCCACUGAAAAAAAUUGAAAUAAUAGUAUUUUUGCCCUUUUUACUUUACCAAGUUAAUAACAAGGCCC
rnacentral:lncRNA from 1 species